UACGGGGGGGCAAGCGUUGUUCGGAAUUACUGGGCGUAAAGGGCUCGUAGGCGGCCAACUAAGUCAGACGUGAAAUCCCUCGGCUUAACCGGGGAACUGCAUCUGAUACUGGAUGGCUUGAGAUUGGGAGAGGGAUGCGGAAUUCCAGGUGUAGCGGUGAAAUGCGUAGAUAUCUGGAGGAACACCGGUGGCGAAGGCGGCAUCCUGGACCAACACUGACGCUGAGGAGCGAAGGCCAGGGGAGCAAGCGGG
rnacentral:rRNA from 1 species